CUUUUAAUGACCAAUAACUAGCCCCGAUCUCUGACACAUAUCAUCAUAAUUUAUAUCCACCAGGAGUUAACAUGCCUGUGAUUCGACACGGUCAACCCUUCUCGCACGUGAUGCUUUGUAGGCUGUCGUCGGUCGCGUCAGAUUUUAAAUCGAGGGUAACGUCAAAUGUGCAAACGCAAUCAAGGCCCCGGUUAUGCCUUAUCAACGCCUUUCGUUAUGUCUGAUUGGACCUCGAAGAGGUGAGAAAUAACACACCCUUGAGAUCGGAGCGACUGAUGUGGAUUAGCAUGCUAAUGAGCGUUGUUUUUAUUUGAUCUUGCGGUACCUUUUCACUCUCUCUCCCCCCUUGAGAAGGACAAACCUCGAGCAAGGGAGGACAGGGGGGGGGGGGGAGUUGGCUGGGUGUGGAUGUGAUAACUGAAGGGAAGAACGGGAGAGGAAGGAGGGUUAAAAGUGGUAGCUGGUUGGCUGGGUUUUUGGGGGCUGAGUUGUAGAAGAUAUUCCUAAUUAGCAUGUGGGAGCAAAACGGUUCUGACAGCAGAGGUAACCCUGCCCUCAUUCAAAUGGUGGCUUAACAGUCCCCUGUUAAGUCACCAUUUUUUUACUCAGCUUCUUUUUGUCAGUCAAACCCCAACAGCUGUGGAUUUAGGGCUCCAUUCACCUUAAAAGAAAUCUAAAGAUAAUCCAUAGUUUGAUGUUGUAAAAGGGGGUGGUGGGGGGAUGGCUUCUGAGUCUUCUAAGGAAGGGAAAAGGGGGUCACCAGUGUUUAGGGGCAACGGGUUUAAGCUGUAAAACCCCUACACAAUAGGUUCUGAUGGAGGAGCGAACUCACCCCCCCUUCACCAACAGCCCUGACACAAGCAGAGAGUCUCUAGAAAGUUCUAAGCACCUUCUCCGAGCUUCACUGAACCCAUUGAAGAACAGAUAGAUAAAGAACACCAGUGUCUUUAAGUCUAAACUUCCAUUUCCUGGUGAAAACAAACUCUUUUGAUGUAUCCAAAUAGGGUAUGGAAGGGAGUUUAUUCAGCUGUUCUAAGACGGCGGUGGCAAUGUUUUUAUUUUGUCGUUUUUUAAAUGGGUUACUAGGCCUGAUGGGAGCCAAGCCAUCAAGGUUUUGACAACCUCGAUUGUGGGACUUUUCGAGGGAUUUUAGAAAGAAAUUGCAAAAUGAUAUUUAGGAAUAAUGGGUAGAAAAAUCUCGAUUCAGCUUAUUUCACCUCAUACUUUAGUUCAAAUAUAUGAAGUUGUUCUGCGCUGGAUGAGUGCAGCUUUGAGAAUUAUGCCGUACAAAAGGUAAGGUGGGGCGCAUCCGUCUUUGUUCAUCCAUAUCCAUUGUGAUUUCCUGCUUCUCAGAAAGGCAUUAACAGUGAAGCUGUUAAACGGUUUAGCAUCUUGCUACGUUUCAUUUGAGGCGUAAUCAUUUAAUCAACUUAUCGAGUUAUGUUAGUAAACAUAAACUCAACAUUUACACAUUUGACAAUUUCAAAUUGCUUAUUUAUCAGAAUGUUUUGUUCGUCCAAAGUUUUCAGUUGGCAAUUAUAACACACCCAUGCUAAUAAGGAGUGUUUUAUUUGAUGAGAUGUAAAUACAAAAUAAGCCUUGGUCAUCCAAAAACGAUUUUAAUUUCAAGGACAUACCUGCAGCCUACAGCCUUUCCACGUUAGCAGAUAAUACUACCACCAAAGACGGUGGUUGACCUUGUGAAGCUUAGACGAACUUAGCCCCUGAACUCCCAAGUCUUGCCUCUUUAAUCAUAGACACACAUGCACAUACACACACACAUACACACACACACAGACGCACACACACACUCACCGAUCACACUCACACGCAAACACACAGAGACCUUCUCUGACAGUUUCAGGCAACUGCAGUAUUGCUUUAUUGCACAUUUGCUUACCAUAAGAAUUUAAUUUUCAGCGAUAAAGUCCUGGAACUUGGCAGUGGAUUGUGUGUGUGUGUGUGUUUGUCUGUGAGUGUGUCUAUGUGUGUGUUGUUUGUGAGUGCAUGCACACAUUUGUUUGUGUGUUUGUGUGUGGAGGUGUAUGUGUGGGUGCAUACACAUGUGCACAUGUUGUGCACAUGUGUGUGUGGGGUUGUUCACGUUCACAUGUGUGCAUGAACUUGUGUUUGUGUAUGUGUGCAUGUACAUAUGUGUGUGUGUGUGUGUGUGUGUGUGUGUGUGUGUGUGUGUGUGUGUGUGUGUGUGUGUGUGUGUGUGUGUGUGUGUGUGUGUGUGUGUGUGUGUGUGUGUGUGUGUGUGUGU